rnacentral:snoRNA from 1 species
UUACUAUAAUGACUAUCUUAGGACACGUUUUGGAAUAAAGAUGAAAAAUACAUUCUGAGCAAC